rfam:Desulfovibrio mexicanus strain DSM 13116 genome assembly, contig: Ga0070557_102
UUGAAAGCGUUUAAGGGCAUCUGGUGGAUGCCUUGGCGCCAGGAGGCGAUGAAGGACGCGGUAGGCAGCGAAAUUCUCUGGGGAGCCGCCAAGCAGGCAUUGAUCCGGAGGUAUCCGAAUGGGGCAACCCGGCUGGAGUCAUAUCCAGUCAUUCCAAGGCCGAAUGCAUAAGCCUUGGAAGGCGAACGCAGGGAAGUGAAACAUCUCAGUACCUGCAGGAGAGGAAAUCAACCGAGAUUCCCGAAGUAGCGGCGAGCGAAACGGGAAGAGGCCAAACCGUGCGGUUUCGACCGUGCGGGGUUGUAGGGCAGUCAUAAGCGAUCCGCAAUUAGAGAGCAGAACAGGUUGGGAAACCUGGCCAUAGAGGGUGAAAGUCCCGUAUGUGGUAUCGAAAGCGGCGUGGACUGUUCCUGAGUACCGCGAGGCACGUGAAACCUCGUGGGAACCUGGGUGGACCAUCAUCCAAGCCUAAAUACUCCCUGGCGACCGAUAGUGUACCAGUACCGUGAGGGAAAGGUGAAAAGAACCCCUGUUAGGGGAGUGCAAUAGAACCUGAAACCGGAUGCCUACAAGCAGUGGGAGCGGACUUGUUCCGUGACCGCAUGCCUUUUGCAUAAUGAGUCAGCGAGUUACUCUGUAGUGCAAGGUUAAGUGUAAAAAACACGGAGCCGAAGCGAAAGCGAGUCUGAAUAGGGCGCAUAGUACUGCGGAGUAGACCCGAAACCACGUGAUCUAUCCAUGAGCAGGUUGAAGCUCAGGUAAAACUGAGUGGAGGACCGAACCGCCGUAAGUUGAAAAUUACCCGGAUGACUUGUGGAUAGGGGUGAAAGGCCAAUCAAACGUGGUGAUAGCUGGUUCUCCCCGAAAUAUAUUGAGGUAUAGCCUCAGGACGAGAUUGACGGAGGUAGAGCACUGACAGGGCUAGGGGCCUUACCCGGUUACCAACCCCUAUCAAACUCCGAAUGCCGUCAAUUGCUUCCUGGGAGUCAGACUGCGGGUGCGAAGGUCCGUAGUCGAAAGGGAAACAGCCCAGAUCGUCAGCUAAGGUCUCUAAAUUCAUGCUCAGUGGAAAAGGUAGUGACGUUGCUUAGACAUCCAGGAGGUUGGCUUAGAAGCAGCCAUCCUUUAAAGAAAGCGUAAUAGCUCACUGGCCUAGCGAUGUUGCGCCGAAAAUGUAUCGGGGCUAAGCAUGAUACCGAAGCUACGGGAGCAUACUAGUUAUGCUCGGUAGGGGAGCGUUCUCAGACGCGACGAAGGUGAACCGGAAGGUUUGCUGGAGUAAUGAGAAGUGAUUAUGCUGACAUGAGUAACGAUAAAACGAGUGAAAAACUCGUUCGCCGUAAGCCCAAGGUUUCCUGGGUAAAGUUAAUCUUCCCAGGGUGAGUCGGUCCCUAAGGCGAGGCAGAAAUGCGUAGUCGAUGGAAAACAGGUUAAUAUUCCUGUACCCGUGUGUGAGCGCGAUGAAGGGACGCAGGAGGGUAGGUUGGCCAGGUGUUGGAUAUCCUGGUGUAAGCCCGUAGGGUUGAGCUGUAGGCAAAUCCGCAGCUCUCCAUGCCCGAGAAGUGAUGCCGUGGCCGCAAGGCCUGAAGCAACUCAUCCCAGACUGCCAAGAAAAGCUUCUAAGUUUAUCACAUACGGACCGUACCGCAAACCGACACAGGUGGGCGGGUCGAGUAGACCAAGGCGCUUGAGAGAACUCUGGUUAAGGAACUCGGCAAAAUGACCCCGUAAGUUCGCGAUAAGGGGUGCUCUCUUAGGUAAUGGUUUAACUUCCAAAGCCCGAGAGAGCCGCAGAGAAUCGGGGGUGGCGACUGUUUACUAAAAACAUAGGUCUGUGCGAAGUCGUAAGACGACGUAUACGGACUGACGCCUGCCCGGUGCCGGAAGGUUAAGGGGUGAGGUUAGGAGCAAUCCGAAGCCUUAAACCGAAGCCCCGGUAAACGGCGGCCGUAACUAUAACGGUCCUAAGGUAGCGAAAUUCCUUGUCGGGUAAGUUCCGACCUGCACGAAUGGCGUAACGAUCUCCCCGCUGUCUCAACCAGAGACUCAGUGAAAUUGAAAUACGGGUGAAAAUGCCCGUUACCCGCGGAAAGACGGAAAGACCCUGUGCACCUUUACUAUAGCUUGACAUUGGGUUUUGAACAAGCAUGUGUAGGAUAGGUGGGAGGCAGUGAACAUGGUGCGCUAGCAUCGUGGGAGCCAACCUUGAAAUACCACCCUUGCUUGUUUAAGAUUCUAAUCCCACACCGUUAUCCGGUUGGGAGACAGUGUCUGGUGGGUAGUUUGACUGGGGCGGUCGCCUCCAAAACAGUAACGGAGGCUUGCAAAGGUUCCCUCAGCCUGAUCGGAAACCAGGCGUUGAGUGCAAAAGCAUAAGGGAGCUUGACUGCGAGAGAGACAUCUCGAGCAGGGACGAAAGUCGGCUUUAGUGAUCCGGUGGUCCCGCAUGGAAGGGCCAUCGCUCAUAGGAUAAAAGGUACGCCGGGGAUAACAGGCUGAUCGCAUCCAAGAGUUCACAUCGACGAUGCGGUUUGGCACCUCGAUGUCGGCUCAUCACAUCCUGGGGCUGAAGCAGGUCCCAAGGGUACGGCUGUUCGCCGUUUAAAGUGGUACGCGAGCUGGGUUUAAAACGUCGUGAGACAGUUUGGUCCCUAUCUUCCGUGGGCGUAGGAGAAUUGAAGAGGGGCUGCCCCUAGUACGAGAGGACCGGGGUGGACGAACCUAUGGUGUUCCUGUUGUCGCGCCAGCGGCAUUGCAGGGUAGCUAAGUUCGGAAGGAAUAACCGCUGAAAGCAUCUAAGCGGGAAAUCUGCCUCAAGAUGAGUUCUCCCUCAGCUUCGGCUGCUAAAGACUCCCGGUAGACCACCGGGUUGAUAGGCCGGCUGUGUAAGCGUGGUGACACGUUCAGCUAACCGGUACUAAUAAGUCGUGCGGCUUUUGACA